rnacentral:misc_RNA from 1 species
UGUUAGUGUGUUUGCCUUGUAUUAUUUUAUUGUUUUGUUUGUUAAGCUUUAUAAGUUAUAUAAGUUGAAAAUAUUGUAAUUUUACUUUGAUUAUGAAAAAUGAUCCAGAGCAACGAACGUGUCUUGCUACCAUAUCCAUGCCCUCUCUCUAAGACUACGUUCGUUGAUCUAAAACGUAAAGAAAAGAUAGGUAAGAGGCGCAGGCAGAGCGUCGAGCGGAGCCGGAGAACAUGAAUUUCAUACCAAGAGCCUUGGCGAAAAAGCCUGCAAAGAGAAAUGUGCCAAUAGUGAAGAAAAAGGGGGCAAACUUAACUCAGAAUGCAUCUACCUCAUGUCAAGCAGCAGCCCGGGUCCCAGCUGCCAAUUUUCCAAGUGUAGAAAUCAGAGAACCUCCAGGAAGAGAUGAUGAUAAGGGCACCAGUGGGAUAUCAUUGACCAGUGACCAACAGGAUGAUGGUAUUUCAGAAGGCAGCAAGUGCAUGAAUCAAGCACUAACUGUUGAUCUCCUUCCUAGUGUUGAUGACUCAAAAAACCCUGAACCAGUCCAGGCUUGUGGAUCGCCGUCUUCUAAAGGUGUCACAUUAAGGAAUGAAAGUGAUGAAAUUUUCACUGAGAAUUCAGAGAGGACACCAAAUGAGUCACACAAAGACAAACUUCAAAGGCUUCAGGAGUUGAGUGAUCGAAUAUCAAGUCGAGCCACUGUCAUGGAAGGACACCAAGACACGAUGUUUGGAGAGGCCUUACAUGUACCUCAUGCCAAACUAUCGUCUGACCGAGCUGAGUAUGAGGAAACAUUGUUGAUCCAGGAUGUACAACAUGGUGUCCAAGAGGAAGAGAACCCUGAAAGCGAUGAGGAGCCUCCACCCAUUGUAUCCUUCAGCAAGAACCAGCGUUGGCCAGACGAGGAUGAGCCAGUCUGUGUGGUGUGUGGGAAGUAUGGGGAGUAUAUAUGCGAUCAGACUGAAGCAGAUGUAUGCAGUCUAGAGUGUAAGGCGAAGAACUUGAUCAGGAGAGGAAUUCAACCCACUAUUCCCCAGACUAAGAAGCCAGCAGAUAAUAAUACCUGCAUAUCUGUCCAGGAUACUGCUGCUGCUGCUGAUGAUGUGAAUGAUUCACCUGAGGAGGAUGAUAAACCAUUCAUUUACAGGGAACAUCCAGACAUCUCCGACCUCACAGCGGAAAGGGUGCAAGACAUCCGCAAUGAGGUUCAGAUUUUUGUUGAAGGCAUAAAUAUACAUAGGCCCAUCCUGGAGUUUGAGCAGCUUCGUCUUCCAGCUAAGAUCCAGAGUAAUCUCCAGGUAUCAGGAUAUGUGACCCCUACACCAAUCCAGAUGCAAGCUAUCCCAUCAGCCCUUGCACUAAGAGACCUUAUGAUAUGUGCCCAGACCAGCUCGGGAAAAACCCUCUCAUUCCUCGUGCCUUCAGUGAUUACCAUUUAUAACCAAGUACUUACAAGGUUUGGAAGCAAAGAUCCUUAUGUGCUUAUCCUGACUCCUACAAGAGAACUUGCCAUGCAGAUAGAAGAACAGGCAAAACAACUUAUGAAAGGAUUGUCAAGCAUGAAGACAGCACUCUUAGUUGGAGGGCUCCCUCUACCACCACAGUUGCACAGGUUACAACAAGGUAUUCAGUUUAUUGUAGGUACUCCAGGUAGGAUCAUGGACAUUAUCAACCAAGAAGGUGUUAAUCUGAGUGAUAUCAAGUUGGUUGUGAUUGAUGAAGUAGACACCAUGCUACAACUUGGAUUCCAGCAGCAGGUCUAUGACAUCAUGACCCACUUACCAGACAACCACCAAACCAUCUUUACCUCGGCAACCAUUCCAGCAUCCAUAGAGAAAAUGGCCUCUUCUCUUCUGAACAACCCCGUCUUUAUCUCUGUGGGAACGCCCAGCACUCCCUGUACCUCUGUGAAACAGGUCAUCUUAUGGGUGGAGGAACCAUCAAAGAAGAAGAAACUCUUUGCAAUUCUUCAAGAUCCCAAACAUUUCAGGCCACCAGCUUUAGUCUUUGUCAAUUCCAAACCGGGAGCAGAUCUUCUUGCUCAAGCAGUUGGAAAGAGCUGUGGUAUAUCGGUAGCAUCACUACAUGGAGACAAGCCUCAGAUUCAGCGUAAUGAGAUCCUGCAGAAGUUUAAAGAUGGUGCACAUGAUGUCAUGAUCAGUACAGCUGUGCUAGGGCGUGGUAUUGACCUGCCAGGGGUCAAGAUGGUUGUGAACUUUGACAUGCCAGGGACAGUGGAGGAAUAUAUACAUCAGAUUGGGAGAACAGGGCGCUUAGGAACAUCUGGUACAGCCAUGACAUUUAUCAACAACAACAGCAAAAAGAGUCUUUCUAUUUGGCUGGUGGUUGCCAGUGGGGCGUGAUGAAACAAGCUGAAGAGGCGAUGUAAAAUACAAGCCAAAUGAUGUUGAUACAAGCCACCAUACCUGUAUGAUAUUUCCGAAGGCUUUAAGCCAGCUCUUCCUACAGUUAACCAGCCUGCUGAAACCUCUGGGUGUCCUGUUACCUCCCGAGCUGAUCAACUCACCCCAUCUUAGCU